GAGAGGGUGCGUCUAUAACUGAGGCGUGUGGCCAAUCUGACAGUUCCAUCUCAAUGCCUCGUGCUGCCGCUACAGCCCUUCCACCUGACGCUUAAAAGGGUGAUGGCCAGGGGAUGGGGGUGGGGAUGAGAGAGGAGUAGGAUUCCGUCUCGGCCAGCUUGGAGUCUUUCUCUAGAUCCUUUUUCCCUUUGCUAGACCGGGUGCCAUCCUAAACGAGGGUUUCCGUAACACCGACCGCGGUCCGUGGGCCGAGUCCCGGGAACAACCAUAAUUUAGAUUUCCAUUUCCGGUCCGUAAGCAGUUAAAUGCCUUGCUGCAACGGCUACAGUCCCAGCAACGAGCCUUCCAAUCAAAAGUAAGCUGGCUGAUGUCACUGACAUUAGCUCAGCCAAUCAGAAUAGACUCUCUAAAAACAUCCUGAGAAGGCACUGGAAGGGGCCCAGUCUUUAUAAGUGAAGAGAACAUCUAUAAUGAUGAGAUGACGGUCCAAGGCAAAACAGCCUGCUGAGAUAGGAAACACAGAAAUCAUCAUUAUCUCAGGGGAGGAGAGUGGAAGAAAUACUGAAUGUUCUUCCCAUUAUACCAAGCAUGACACCUAUCAACAAAGAGCUGUAUACAUAGGAAAUCAGAAGAUUUGAGCUCAGCUAUGCUCCUCAAUAGAGAGCCCUGGGAUAGACAAAUCAUUUUGUCAACUUUGGAUUUCCUCACCUAAGAAUGAAUUAAAUUAAAGAUAAUAUCUCUUCUA